UGGGGAAUUUUGGACAAUGGGCGCAAGCCUGAUCCAGCCAUGCCGCGUGCAGGAUGAAGGCCUUCGGGUUGUAAACUGCUUUUGUACGGAACGAAAAGACUCCUUCUAAUAAAGGGGGUCCAUGACGGUACCGUAAGAAUAAGCACCGGCUAACUACGUGCCAGCAGCCUCGGUAAUACGUAGGGUGCGAGCGUUAAUCGGAAUUACUGGGCGUAAAGCGUGCGCAGGCGGUUAUAUAAGACAGAUGUGAAAUCCCCGGGCUCAACCUGGGAACUGCAUUAGUGACUGUAUAGCUAGAGUACGGCAGAGGGGGAUGGAAUUCCGCGUGUAGCAGUGAAAUGCGUAGAUAUGCGGAGGAACACCGAUGGCGAAGGCAAUCCCCUGGGCCUGUACUGACGCUCAUGCACGAAAGCGUGGGGAGCAAACA
rnacentral:rRNA from 1 species